rnacentral:rRNA from 1 species
CGGACGGGUGAGUAACGCGUGGGGAACCUGCCCUGUACCGGGGGAUAGCAGCCGGAAACGGCUGAUAAUACCGCAUAAGCGCACGAAUGUCGCAUGACAUGGUGUGAAAAACUCCGGUGGUAUAGGAUGGACCCGCGUCUGAUUAGCCAGUUGGUGGGGUAAAAGCCUACCAAAGCGAAGAUCAGUAGCCGAGUUGAGAGACUGACCGGCCACAUUGGGACUGAGACACGGCCCAGACUCCUACGGGAGGCAGCAGCC